rnacentral:rRNA from 1 species
UACGUAGGGUGCGAGCGUUGUCCGGAAUUAUUGGGCGUAAAGAGCUUGUAGGCGGUUUGUCGCGUCUGCUGUGAAAAUCCGGGGCUCAACCCCGGACUUGCAGUGGGUACGGGCAGACUAGAGUGUGGUAGGGGAGAGUGGAAUUCCCGGUGUAGUGGUGAUAUGCGUAGAUAUCGGGAGGAACACCAGUGGCGAAGGCGGCUCUCUGGACGGACACUGACGCUGAGACGCGAAAGCGUGGGGAGCAAACAGG